AGUGAACGCUGGCGGCAGGCCUAAUACAUGCAAGUCGAACGGCAGCACAGCAGAGCUUGCUCUGUGGGUGGCGAGUGGGCGGACGGGUGAGGAAUACGUGGGAAUCUGCCCAGUCGUGGGGGAUAACGUAGGGAAACUUACGCUAAUACCGCAUGCGCCCUUUCGGGGAAAAGCCGGGGACCUUCGGGCCUGGCGCGAUUGGAUGAGCCCACGUCGGAUUAGCUAGUUGGCGGGGUAAAGGCCCACCAAGGCGACGAUCCGUAGCUGGUCUGAGAGGAUGAUCAGCCACACUGGAACUGAGACACGGUCCAGACUCCUACGGGAGGCAGCAGUAGGGAAUAUUGGACAAUGGGCGCAAGCCUGAUCCAGCCAUGCCGCGUGAGUGAAGAAGGCCCUCGGGUUGUAAAGCUCUUUCGUCCGGAAAGAAAGCGCCGGGUUAAUACCCUGGUGUCCUGACGGUACCGAAGAAUAAGCACCGGCUAACUUCGUAG
rnacentral:rRNA from 1 species